AUAUAUACACAAUUAAUUUUAAAAUAAUUUCAUUUAUAUAUUAUUUUGAAAUUCCUUUUUUAAAUGGCCUAAAACCAACUGAUUUAUUUCCAUCAUUGUAGUUUGCCUUUCAAUGAAAGGCAGUUCCCUAAGCAUUUCAGCUAUGUUAGCCAAAAAGCCACUAAUGCCAUCAUUUGGAUUUGAAUUGUACUUGGGGCAGAUCUUUUCCAUUAAUGCAGAAGCAUUCCUCAUUACAUCUGUGCAUAAGUUCUUUGAUUUUGUGCUGGGUUUGAUAAUGUUUGGGUUUCAGGAAUAUCAAUACUGUUAUGGCUGCUGUUAUCUAUUGUCACAGCUACCUAAAAUAAAUCAAAAAGAUCAUUGUUGAAUGUUAUAAGUUGACAAAUUAUAGCCAGUUACAUUUUGUUAUAUUAUUAUAGUUAAAUAUACAAGUACUUACAUCCUGG
rnacentral:lncRNA from 1 species